rnacentral:rRNA from 1 species
GCAUAUCAAUAAGCGGAGGAAAAGAAACCAACAGGGAUUGCCCUAGUAACGGCGAGUGAAGCGGCAACAGCUCAAAUUUGAAAUCUGGCGCAAGCCCGAGUUGUAAUUUGUAGAGGAUGCUUCUGGGUAGCGACCGAUCUAAGUUCCUUGGAACAGGACGUCAUAGAGGGUGAGAAUCCCGUAUGUGACCGGCCCGCACCCUUUACGUAGCUCCUUCGACGAGUCGAGUUGUUUGGGAAUGCAGCUCUAAAUGGGAGGUAAAUUUCUUCUAAAGCUAAAUACCGGCCAGAGACCGAUAGCGCACAAGUAGAGUGAUCGAAAGAUGAAAAGUACUUUGGAAAGAGAGUUAAAAAGCACGUGAAAUUGUUGAAAGGGAAGCGCCUGCAACCAGACUUCGCGGCAGUGUUCCGCCGGUCUUCUGACCGGUUCAUUCUCUGUCGCGAGGCCAUCAUCGUCUGGGCCCGCCGGAUAAGACCUUAGGAAUGUAGCUCACCUUCGGGGGAGUGUUAUAGCCUAGGGUGAUGCGGCGAGGCUCGGGCGAGGUCCGCGCUUCGGCAAGGAUGAUGGCGUAAUGGUUGUCGGCGGCCCGUCUUGAAACACGGACCAAGGAGUCUAACAUCUAUGCGAGUGUUCGGGUGUCAAACCCCUACGCGUAAUGAAAGUGAACGGAGGUGGGAACCGCAAGGUGCACCAUCGACCGAUCCUGAUGUCCUCGGAUGGAUUUGAGUAAGAGCAUAGCUGUUGGGACCCGAAAGAUGGUGAACUAUGCCUGAAUAGGGUGAAGCCAGAGGAA